rnacentral:rRNA from 1 species
UUGCCUCAGUAACGGCGAGUGAAGCGGCAAGAGCUCAAAUUUGAAAGCUGGCUCCUUCGGGGUCCGCAUUGUAAUUUGCAGAGGAUGCUUCGGGUGCGGCCCCUGUCUAAGUGCCCUGGAACGGGCCGUCAGAGAGGGUGAGAAUCCCGUCUGGGAUGGGGUGUCCGCGCCCGUGUGAAGCUCCUUCGACGAGUCGAGUUGUUUGGGAAUGCAGCUCUAAAUGGGUGGUAAAUUUCAUCUAAAGCUAAAUACUGGCCGGAGACCGAUAGCGCACAAGUAGAGUGAUCGAAAGAUGAAAAGCACUUUGAAAAGAGAGUUAAAAAGCACGUGAAAUUGUUGAAAGGGAAGCGCUUGCGACCAGACUCGCCUCCAGGGUUCAGCCGGCAUUCGUGCCGGUGUACUUCCCUGGGGGCGGGCCAGCGUCGGUUUGGGCGGCCGGUCAAAGGCUCCCGGAAUGUAGUGCCCUCCGGGGCACCUUAUAGCCGGGAGUGCAAUGCGGCCAGCCUGGACCGAGGAACGCGCUUCGGCACGGACGCUGGCAUAAUGGUCGUAAACGACCCGUCUUGAAACACGGACCAAGGAGUCUAACAUCUACGCGAGUGUUCGGGUGUCAAACCCGUACGCGCAGUGAAAGCGAACGGAGGUGGGAGCCCCCUCGUGGGGCGCACCAUCGACCGAUCCUGAAGUCUUCGGAUGGAUUUGAGUAAGAGCGUAAAUGUGGGGACCCGAAAGAUGGUGAACUAUGCCUGAAUAGGGCGAAGCCAGAGGAAACUCUGGUGGAGGCUCGCAGCGGUUCUGACGUGCAAAUCGAUCGUCAAAUUUGGGUAUAGGGGCGAAAGACUAAUCGAACCAUCUAGUAGCUGGUUCCUGCCGAU